UACGUAGGGGGCGAGCGUUGUCCGGAAUUACUGGGCGUAAAGGGCGCGUAGGCGGCCCGCUAAGUCCGUUGUGAAAGACCGAGGCUCAACCUCGGGGCGCCAACGGAGACUGGGGGGCUGGAGUGUCGGAGAGGAGCGGGGAAUCCCUGGUGUAGCGGUGGAAUGCGUAGAGAUCAGGGGGAACACCGAUGGCGAAGGCACCGCUCUGGCCGAUCACUGACGCUGAGGCGCGAAAGCUGGGGGAGCGAACGGG
rnacentral:rRNA from 2 species